UUCUUGAAAAUUAAGAGAGUUGGCGGUAUUUUAGCUAAUAGAGGAACCUGUCCUGUAAUUGAUGAUACACGUUUUUAUUUACUUAUUUUAUCAGUUUGUAUAUCGCCGUAGUUUGAAUAUUUUUUAAGAAUUAAAAUAUUCAAGAUUUUUAUUAAAAAUAAAGCAGGUCAAGAUAUAGCUUAUAAAUAAGAAGAGAUGGGUUACAAUAAAGUAUAUUUAAAUGGAUUAAUUUUUGUAUAAUAGUUAUGAAGGUGGAUUUGAAAGUAAUUUUAAAUAAAAUUUUAAUAUGAUUUUAGCUCUAAAAUAUGUACAUAUCGCCCGUCGCUUUCACUUUAAGGUGGAAUAAGUCGUAACAUAGUAGGUGUACUGGAAAGUGUCCCUAGAAAGGACAAGUUAAAGCUUAUAUUAAGCAUUUCAUUUACAUUGAGAAGAAUACUUUUAUUAGUAUAAUUUGAAAAAUUUUAAUUAUUAAUUUUUAUAUUUAAAUUAAUUUUAAAAAAAGUAAUUUUUAUUUUUAUUAAUAUAUAUGAAUAAAUAAAUUUUUAUAAUAGUAAAAUAGUAUUGUGAAAGAAAUUUAAUUAAUUAAUUAAAAGAAAAAUUUUUUUUUU
rnacentral:rRNA from 1 species